GGACGCUUAGCUCAGCUGGGAGAGCAUUACCUUCACACGGUAGGGGUCGGCGGUUCGAAUCCGUCAGCGUCCA
rnacentral:tRNA from 1 species